rnacentral:tRNA from 1 species
CGGAUGUAUCACAGAACAACCGGAAACCUAGAAAUAGCCAACGGGGUCGGAGGUUCAAAUCCUCUCGUUCCGACCA